ACUGUACCUAAGAAUAAGGUCCGGCUAACUCGUGCCAGCAGCCGCGGUAAUACGAAGGGACCUAGCGUAGUUCGGAAUUACUGGGCGUAAANAAUGGCCGGCCGCGUUUAGAGCCCCCGGGGUUAUUGGAAAGGUUCAGUUAACUUGUCGAAAUUCCCCAAAAAAGCCUUUAAAACCUUUUGAGAAACCUUGCAAAUUAAAGACUGCUCGAACUAGAGUUUUGAACAGAGGGAACACGCGCGAAUACAUACGUGU
rnacentral:rRNA from 1 species